rnacentral:rRNA from 1 species
AAUAGAUACCCGGGUAGUCCACGCCGUAAACGAUGUCGACUUGGAGGUUGUGCCCUUGAGGCGUGGCUUCCGGAGCUAACGCGUUAAGUCGACCGCCUGGGGAGUACGGCCGCAAGGUUAAAACUCAAAUGAAUUGACGGGGGCCCGCACAAGCGGUGGAGCAUGUGGUUUAAUUCGAUGCAACGCGAAGAACCUUACCUACUCUUGACAUCCAGAGAACUUAGCAGAGAUGCUUUGGUGCCUUCGGGAACUCUGAGACAGGUGCUGCAUGGCUGUCGUCAGCUCGUGUUGUGAAAUGUUGGGUUAAGUCCCGCAACGAGCGCAACCCUUAUCCUUUGUUGCCAGCGGUUAGGCCGGGAACUCAAAGGAGACUGCCAGUGAUAAACUGGAGGAAGGUGGGGAUGACGUCAAGUCAUCAUGGCCCUUACGAGUAGGGCUACACACGUGCUACAAUGGCAUAUACAAAGAGAAAGCGGACCUCGCGAGAGCAAGCGGACCUCAUAAAGUAUGUCGUAGUCCGGA